GACGAACGCUGGCGGCGUGCUUAACACAUGCAAGUCGAACGGAAAGGCCCUGCUUUUGUGGGGUGCUCGAGUGGCGAACGGGUGAGUAACACGUGAGUAACCUGCCCUUGACUUUGGGAUAACUUCAGGAAACUGGGGCUAAUACCGGAUAGGAGCUCCUGCUGCUUGGUGGGGGUUGGAAAGUUUAGGCGGUUGGGGAUGGACUCGGGGCUUAUCAGCUUGUGGGGGGGGUAGUGGCUUACCAAGGCUUUGACGGGUAGCCGGCCUGAGAGGGUGACCGGCCACAUUGGGACUGAGAUACGGCCCAGACUCGUACGGGAGGCAGCAGUGGGGAGUAUUGCACAAUGGGCGGAAGCGUGAGGCAGCAACGCCGCGUGCGGGAUGACGGCCUUCGGGUUGUAAACCGCUUUAGCCUGUGACGAAGCGUGAGUGACGGUAAUGGGUAAAGAAGCACCGGCUAACUACGUG
rnacentral:rRNA from 1 species